rnacentral:rRNA from 1 species
GACGAACGCUGGCGGCGUGCCUAAUACAUGCAAGUAGAACGCAGUUGCGAACGGGUGAGUAACGCGUAGGGAACUGCCUCAUAGCGGGGGAUAACUAUUGGAAACGAUAGCUAAUACCGCAAACUGUGAGAGAGACCAGCGUUGCAUUAGGUAGUUGGGGGGGUAAAGGCUCACCAAGGCGACGAUACAGAGCCGACCUGAGAGGGGGCACGCGCACACUGGGAUUUGGACAAGGCCCCGAAUCCCUCGGGAGGCAGCAGUUGGGGAUCUUCGGCAAGUGACUGAAGUCUGACCGAGCAACGCCGGCUGAGUGAAGAAGGUUUUCGGGUCGUAAAGCUCUGUUGUUAGAGAAGCGGUACCUAACCAGAAAGCGACGGCUAACUCCGUGCCAGCAGCCGCGGUAAUAC